AGUGAACGCUGGCGGUAGGCCUAACACAUGCAAGUCGAACGGCAGCACAGUAAGAGCUUGCUCUUACGGGUGGCGAGUGGCGGACGGGUGAGGAAUACAUCGGAAUCUACUUUUUCGUGGGGGAUAACGUAGGGAAACUUACGCUAAUACCGCAUACGACCUACGGGUGAAAGCAGGGGAUCUUCGGACCUUGCGCGAUUGAAUGAGCCGAUGUCGGAUUAGCUAGUUGGCGGGGUAAAGGCCCACCAAGGCGACGAUCCGUAGCUGGUCUGAGAGGAUGAUCAGCCACACUGGAACUGAGACACGGUCCAGACUCCUACGGGAGGCAGCAGUGGGGAAUAUUCGACAAUGGGCGCAAGCCUGAUCCAGCAAUACCGCGUGGGUGAAGAAGGCCUUCGGGUUGUAAAGCCCUUUUGUUGGGAAAGAAAAGCAGCAGGUUAAUACCCCGCUGUUCUGACGGUACCCAAAGAAUAAGCACCGGCUAACUUCGUG
rnacentral:rRNA from 1 species